rnacentral:rRNA from 1 species
ACUCCUACGGGAGGCAGCAGUAGGGAAUCUUCCACAAUGGGCGCAAGCCUGAUGGAGCAACACCGCGUGAGUGAAGAAGGGUUUCGGCUCGUAAAGCUCUGUUGUUAAAGAAGAACACGUAUGAGAGUAACUGUUCAUACGUUGACGGUAUUUAACCAGAAAGUCACGGCUAACUACGUGCCAGCAGCCGCGGUAAUACGUAGGUGGCAAGCGUUAUCCGGAUUUAUUGGGCGUAAAGAGAGUGCAGGCGGUUUUCUAAGUCUGAUGUGAAAGCCUUCGGCUUAACCGGAGAAGUGCAUCGGAAACUGGAUAACUUGAGUGCAGAAGAGGGUAGUGGAACUCCAUGUGUAGCGGUGGAAUGCGUAGAUAUAUGGAAGAACACCAGUGGCGAAGGCGGCUACCUGGUCUGCAACUGACGCUGAGACUCGAAAGCAUGGGUAGCGAACAGGAUUAGAUACCCUGGUAGGCAACCC